GAACUUAUGCCAGCUAAAAAUAUGUACAAAAAUACACCUCUUUUCUGCCUUUUGGACCAUGAAGAUCAGAUUACCUUAGUUUCUUACUUUUAGGGGGAGUUGGGAAUGAACCACACAACACACCUCAAUCUGAGUUUUAAUUUCUAGGUUCAGGUCACAAAACCCCAAAGCACGACCUUCUGUUAAUAAUGUCGUUGCAGCCAAUGCAUAUCAGUAUCAACUAGAGAGCAAUAAACCGUUACGUUGAAAUGUGCUUAACAUACCAUGCUAGGUCUUUAUACAGAGAUCGGUGUUUUCUCGAGGCUUUCUUUCCCAGUGAUGCCAUCUUUCAGAGUCUUGAAGAAUUCAUUGUAAUCCUUCUCUGGAG
rnacentral:misc_RNA from 1 species